rnacentral:rRNA from 1 species
UACGUAGGUGGCAAGCGUUGUCCGGAAUUAUUGGGCGUAAAGCGCGCGCAGGUGGUUUCUUAAGUCUGAUGUGAAAGCCCACGGCUCAACCGUGGAGGGUCAUUGGAAACUGGGGAACUUGAGUGCAGGAGAGAAGAGUGGAAUUCCACGUGUAGCGGUGAAAUGCGUAGAGAUGUGGAGGAACACCAGUGGCGAAGGCGACUCUUUGGCCUGUAACUGACACUGAGGCGCGAAAGCGUGGGGAGCAAACAAG